UACAGAGGUCUCAACCGUUGUUCGGAUUCAUUGGGCGUAAAGGGUGCGUAGGCGGUCGCGCAAGUCGGAUGUGAAAUCUCAGGGCUCAACCCUGAAACUGCAUUCGAUACUGCGUGGCUAGAGUGCUGGAGAGGAGACUGGAAUUUACGGUGUAGCAGUGAAAUGCGUAGAUAUCGUAAGGAAGACCAGUGGUGAAGGCGAGGCGCUGGACAGCAACUGACGCUGAGGCACGAAGGCCAGGGGAGCAAACGGG
rnacentral:rRNA from 1 species